rnacentral:snoRNA from 1 species
AUUGGGCUUAGUUAGGAGGCAUAAAUCAAUCUGAUCUUUUCGAUACUUCUCUGUAUUGGUUUGAUCUUAAUGACUUGAGGUCUUUUGAGGAGGAGCUCUGCCUUUUUUUUUUGCUGCUUCUCCCAAGCAGCCUCAGACAUUA